rnacentral:tRNA from 1 species
GCUCUCAUAGUCUAGAGGCCAAGGAUACCACCCUCUCACGGUGGCGACCCGGGUUCGAAUCCCGGUGGGAGCG